AUGGAUCUGUCAUUGGAGAUGGGCGUAAGGCUGAGUGUAAUUUUGUAUGCCCGGGUUAACCACCCCACAACAUACAUUUGCAUUGCUGUUACAAUUUCUGUUGUAAUCAUUAUGAGCUUGGCUGUCGAGACUUCAAGACCAUUUCCUCAGGUGAGGUGGGGGGGGGGGCUGCGGCCUCUAAAGACCACCCACAUCUGCCAAGCUCUGCUCCAAAAGGUUGCCUUAGUGGCAAGAGCUGUUCUGCACAAGGAUUCAUAGGGUCGUGUCAAUAAGCUGUACGCACUGCAGUAUGGUCGGCGCCUCCAGCUUUUUCCACAAUCUGCUUAUCGGAGCUGGGGCCGCUAUGUUAAUCUGGUAAAUUAGAUAUUUUGUUGCUUUGGGUAGUUUGGGCGGGUAGUUAUGUAGCAAGGUGUUUUAGGUAGAUCACUGCCCGUGCUGUUUUGAAUCAGCGUAAUUAUCGAUGCCCAGUAAGAUGUGAGUAUAGGGCACGCCCACCAAAUGUGGAUCAUGGUUCCCGAGGUGCACCGCCAAC